GCAGUGGGGAAUAUUGGACAAUGGGCGAAAGCCUGAUCCAGCCAUGCCGCGUGUGUGAAGAAGGUCUUCGGAUUGUAAAGCACUUUAAGUUGGGAGGAAGGGCAGUUACCUAAUACGUGAUUGUUUUGACGUUACCGACAGAAUAAGCACCGGCUAACUCUGUGCCAGCAGCCGCGGUAAUACAGAGGGUGCAAGCGUUAAUCGGAAUUACUGGGCGUAAAGCGCGCGUAGGUGGUUUGUUAAGUUGAAUGUGAAAUCCCCGGGCUCAACCUGGGAACUGCAUCCAAAACUGGCAAGCUAGAGUAUGGUAGAGGGUGGUGGAAUUUCCUGUGUAGCGGUGAAAUGCGUAGAUAUAGGAAGGAACACCAGUGGCGAAGGCGACCACCUGGACUGAUACUGACACUGAGGUGCGAAAGCGUGGGGAGCAAACAGGAUUAGA
rnacentral:rRNA from 1 species